GAUGAACACUAGCGAUAGGCUUAACACAUGCAAGUCGAGGGGCAGCACAAGGUAGCUUGCUAUCUGGGUGGCGACCGGCGCACGGGUGCGUAACGCGUAUGCAACUUGCCCUAUACAGGAGGAUAACCCGUCGAAAGACGGACUAAUACUGCGUAUGCUCACAACUUGGCAUCAAGUGGUGAGGAAAGAAAUUCGGUAUAGGAUAGGCAUGCGUCCCAUUAGCUUGUUGGUGAGGUAACGGCUCACCAAGGCAACGAUGGGUAGGGGAACUGAGAGGUUUAUCCCCCACACUGGUACUGAGACACGGACCAGACUCCUACGGGAGGCAGCAGUGAGGAAUAUUGAUCAAUGGGCGCGAGCCUGAACCAGCCAAGUCGCGUGAAGGAUGACUGUCUUAUGGAUUGUAAACUUCUUUUAUACGGGAAUAACAAGAGUCACGUGUGACUCCCUGCAUGUACCGUAUGAAUAAGCAUCGGCUAACUCCGUG
rnacentral:rRNA from 1 species